rnacentral:rRNA from 1 species
UACGGAGGGUGCAAGCGUUAUCCGGAUUCACUGGGUUUAAAGGGUGCGUAGGUGGAAUGGUAAGUCAGUGGUGAAAUCUCCAAGCUUAACUUGGAACUGCCGUUGAUACUAUCAUUCUUGAAUAUCGUGGAGGUGAGCGGAAUAUGUCAUGUAGCGGUGAAAUGCUUAGAUAUGACAUAGAACACCGAUUGCGAAGGCAGCUCACUACACGAUCAUUGACACUGAGCACGAAAGCGUGGGGAGCAAACAGG